AACGAACGCUGGCGGCAGGCUUAACACAUGCAAGUCGAACGCCCCGCAAGGGGAGUGGCGCACGGGUGAGUAACGCGUGGGAAUAUGCCCUUCGGUUCGGAAUAACACAGGGAAACUUGUGCUAAUACCGGAUACGAUCUACGGAUGAAAGAUUCAUCGCCGAAGGAGUAGCCCGCGUAGGAUUAGCUAGUUGGUGAGGUAAUGGCUCACCAAGGCGACGAUCCUUAGCUGGUCUGAGAGGAUGAUCAGCCACACUGGGACUGAGACACGGCCCAGACUCCUACGGGAGGCAGCAGUGGGGAAUAUUGGACAAUGGGGGAAACCCUGAUCCAGCCAUGCCGCGUGAGUGAUGAAGGCCUUAGGGUUGUAAAGCUCUUUCGCCAGGGAAGAUAAUGACGGUACCUGGAAAAGAAGCCUCGGCUAACUCCGUGCCAGCCGCCGCUGUAACAC
rnacentral:rRNA from 1 species